CUAUGAUUUUUAUUUUCAGUUUAAUUGUUGUUGUGCUUUGUUUUGCAUUCUUGCUUGUUUUUGUUGCCUGAUAAUUGCCACAGUGGUUGUUGUUAUUGUUUUGUUAAUAAUUAGUGCUUUAUUGUUGUCUUGAUUUUCUUUAUACAUAAACUCUGAAUUUGUUUUCGACUAUUUUGUAAUAAAUUAUAUACAAAAUAUUAUGUGAAUUUGUGAAUUUUACAAACAUAGUUCUUAUUAAAUUUGAGUGUAGGAAUUAUUUUAAUGAAUUUAUAAUGAUUUUACGUUAUAUUUAAUUAAAUUGGUCUAAUAACGGUUCGACUCCGGUUGAAUCGUUGAACCAGUGACUUCAGUCUGACUGGUCCGGUUAUUGCAACCUUGUAUUAAUCUAUUGCUGUUGGUCAUAAAACAGGAAUAAAGGGGACUUUCCUUAGAAAAGAUUCUUAAAACCAACUACUUCCCUUCAUAGAGUAUUGUGUCUAAUUAAUGGUCAUAAAUGUCUAUCUACAAAAACCACCAAACAGAGUCGUUGUAUCUAUCCAUGUAAAGAGAGUCGACCGUAGGAAAUAGACUAUUUUAGACAGUUGUAUGGUUGAUCCUUUAAUAAUCAUAAUAGCUCUUUACAGUAUACCCUAAUUCUAUAGAUUUGCCUCUCGUUGGUUUGGUAACCUCCAGAUACUUGGUGUUAAGAUGGGGCUGAUUUCACUAUUGAUUUGUUGAAUAUUAAAUAGGCGAAGCUCAAAGAAGAAGGACAACUUUCUGGCGAUCUGGACUGCUGAAUGCUAAAAGGGAAGUGAAGGAAACAUGCUAGAAGAAGCCAAAUCAAUCAACCUUUCACUAAGUUCACUGGGAAAGUGCAUUAAUGCUCUAGCAGAGAACAGUGCUCAUGUUCCAUUUUGUGAUUCAAAGCUUACCAGGAUGCUUCGAGAUUCCUCUGGAGGCACAGCAAGGACAUCAUUGAUUGUGACCAUUGGCCCAUUUCUACGUCACCAAGGAGAGACUUCUAGCACCAUAUUAUUUGAUGGCAUGCACGUUAAGAAGACCUUCAACCAAAAAAUUGACCUAAAGCUCUUUAUAUAAGGGAGAGAGCUUUUGUUCAUUUCAUCAUGCAGAAAGCACUAUGGGAAAGUCUUGUAUAACGAGAUUGCAGAAAAUGGCUGCCUUCUUUACCAACUAUUCCUGAAGGGUAGAACUAUUGAGUUUUUGUAAUUUUGGUCAACUAUUAAGUUUUGAAAAUUUGAAUGAUUCAUUGACACAUGUAUCAAGUAAAACAUA